rnacentral:rRNA from 1 species
UACGUAGGGAGCAAGCGUUGUUCGGAUUUACUGGGCGUAAAGGGCGCGUAGGCGGCGCGGUAAGUCACUUGUGAAAUCUCUGAGCUUAACUCAGAACGGCCAAGUGAUACUGCAGUGCUAGAGUGCAGAAGGGGCAAUCGGAAUUCUUGGUGUAGCGGUGAAAUGCGUAGAUAUCAAGAGGAACACCUGAGGUGAAGACGGGUUGCUGGGCCGACACUGACGCUGAGGCGCGAAAGCCAGGGGAGCAAACGGG